rnacentral:tRNA from 1 species
GCCCUGGUGGUGGAAUUGGUAGACACGCAGGACUUAAAAUCCUGUGACCAUUGCGGUCGUGCGGGUUCAAGUCCCGCCCGGGGUA